GCCAAUCCCAGGGCAUCAAGAGACAGUGCCAAAGGUCAAGGGGCAAAAAGAGAGGUCCGCCCCUCCCCCACCUCCCCGCUGGAUGGUCUAGUGUCUGGAAACGUCCACUGCUGAUGGUGGAUGUUUGGCCCAGGUAGCCCACUGGGUGGGGACUGCUGAGGUCAGUGAGGACUGGAAUCGCCAGGACUCAUCCUGCCUGGCACAGGUUCUGCGGACCCUCAGCCCUGCCCCCCGGGUGCUCGUGUGUGCAUCCCCUGAAAAUGGCUGCUGAUCGGCCAGCCCUCUUGUUCAGGUCACCCGGACAGACGCUGCUCAGGGCUCAGCCGAGACAACCCAGGUCUUCCUAGACUGUGUUGAGGAAGCAAGAAUCUCCUUUAUUUGCAAGUUAAUAAUGGAACAAGUGUUGUAUAUCGGGCUGGAACUUUCUAGGUACCAGAAAACAAGAGUUCACUAAUCUUAUUGGGAACUUCAGUUCACAGACACCUUCAGUGAUUAGUUCUGCUUAUCUACAGAAUCACCUUCAGGGAAAAUGAUAUUUGGAGACAGACAGACACAAGCAAGGAAGACAGCCAUGUGAUGACAGGAUAAGACUUGAAGCGAUGCAGGUAUAAAAUACAAGGCUUGCCAAGGAUUUCUCACAGUCACCGAAAGUACUGAGACAAGGAGCAGGGCCAGCCAGGUGGCCUAGUGGUUAAGGCAGCAGAAACACUCAUGGCAGACUGCAUAGUUUAAAUCUUGGAGCCGGCACCUUGUAAAACAUUCCCGCCCAUGUGCAUGUUACUUCCCUGUGUGAGAGAAAAAAGUGGAGAAGAGAUUGCCACGU